AGAGUUUGAUCAUGGCUCAGGAUGAACGCUGGCGGCGUGCCUAACACAUGCAAGUCGAGCGAAGCACUUUACUUUGAUUCUUCGGAUGAAGAGUUUUGUGACUGAGCGGCGGACGGGUGAGUAACGCGUGGGUAACCUGCCUCAUACAGGGGGAUAACAGUUAGAAAUGACUGCUAAUACCCCAUAACAUCGCAGACGGCAUCGUUUGCGGUUGAAAACUCCGG
rnacentral:rRNA from 1 species